rnacentral:miRNA from 1 species
UGUGUGAAGAAGAGAAAC